rnacentral:rRNA from 1 species
AUUAAACGCUGGCGGCAUGCUUUACACAUGCAAGUCGAACGGCAGCGCGGGCUUCGGCCUGGCGGCGAGUGGCGAACGGGUGAGUAAUGCAUCGGAACGUGCCCAGUAGUGGGGGAUAGCCCGGCGAAAGCCGGAUUAAUACCGCAUACGACCUGAGGGUGAAAGCGGGGGACCGAAAGGCCUCGCGCUAUUGGAGCGGCCGAUGUCGGAUUAGCUAGUUGGUGGGGUAAAGGCUUACCAAGGCGACGAUCCGUAGCUGGUCUGAGAGGACGACCAGCCACACUGGGACUGAGACACGGCCCAGACUCCUACGGGAGGCAGCAGUGGGGAAUUUUGGACAAUGGGGGCAACCCUGAUCCAGCCAUGCCGCGUGCGGGAAGAAGGCCUUCGGGUUGUAAACCGCUUUUGUUCGGGAAGAAAUCCUCUGGGCUAAUACCCCGGGGGGAUGACGGUACCGGAAGAAUAAGCACCGGCUAACUACGUG